UCUUAUACGCCGGAAAAUACACUAAAAUUGGAAUGAUACAGAGAAGAUUAGUAUGGCCUCUGAGCAAGGAUGACACACAAAUUUGUGAAGCGUUCCGUAUUUUU